rnacentral:miRNA from 1 species
UUAGGCUAGUACAAAAGCAAUUGUGGUUUUUGCCAUUGAAAGUAAUAGCAAAAACCACAGUUACUUCUGCACCAACCUAAUA